rnacentral:rRNA from 1 species
UAGGGAAUCUUCCACAAUGGACGCAAGUCUGAUGGAGCAACGCCGCGUGAGUGAAGAAGGCUUUCGGGUCGUAAAACUCUGUUAUUGAAGAAGAACGUGCGUGACAGUAACUGGUCAUGCAGUGACGGUAUUCAAUCAGAAAGUCACGGCUAACUACGUGCCAGCAGCCGCGGUAAUACGUAGGUGGCAAGCGUUGUCCGGAUUUAUUGGGCGUAAAGCGAGUGCAGGCGGUCUUUUAAGUCUGAUGUGAAAGCCUUCGGCUUAACCGAAGAAGGGCAUCGGAAACUGGGAGACUUGAGUGCAGAAGAGGAGAGUGGAACUCCAUGUGUAGCGGUGAAAUGCGUAGAUAUAUGGAAGAAACACCAGUGGCGAAGGCGGCUCU